UACGUAGGGUGCAAGCGUUGUCCGGAAUUAUUGGGCGUAAAGAGCUCGUAGGCGGUUUGUUGCGUCGGCUGUGAAAUCCCGAGGCUCAACCUCGGGUCUGCAGUCGAUACGAGCAAACUAGGAGUGUUGCAGGGGAGACUGGAAUUCCUGGUGUAGCGGUGAAAUGCGUAGAUAUCAGGAGGAACACCGAUGGCGAAGGCAGGUCUCUGGGCUGACACUGACGCUCAUGCACGAAAGCGUGGGGAGCAAACAGG
rnacentral:rRNA from 1 species